GUGAGGAAUUUUGCGCAAUGGGGGCAACCCUGACGCAGCGACGCCGCGUGGAGGACGAAGUCUUUCGGGAUGUAAACUCCUGUCAGUGGGGACGAUAAUGACGGUACCCACAGAGGAAGCACCGGCUAACUCCGUGCCAGCAGCCGCGGUAAGACGGAGGGUGCAAGCGUUGUUCGGAAUUACUGGGCGUAAAGCGUAUGUAGGCGGCAAGUUAAGUUCAAUGUUAAAGCCCACGGCUCAACCGAGGAGAUGCAUUGAAUACUGGCUAGCUAGAGGGUGUUAGAGGCAGACGGAAUUCCCAGUGUAGCGGUGAAAUGCGUAGAUAUUGGGAGGAACAUCGGUAGCGAAAGCGGUCUUCUGGGACAUACCUGACGCUGAGGUACGAAAGCGUGGGGAGCAAACGGGAUUAGAAACCCGUGUAGUCC
rnacentral:rRNA from 1 species